rnacentral:piRNA from 1 species
UCCAACUCUGGGCCCUUUCUGAGAA